GACCAGAGGAUGUCCCACACCGACGAGCAACAUUGUUUUAGUGUGAUUUUAACUUUUGCUAGCUGUGAAGAAAGGUUGAAAGAGAACUUAGGCAAGAUACCAAUAUAACACUGUUGUAGAAGCGGACAAACAAGUCAAGCAGCAGCUGAUUGAUUUCACCUGGGAAAACCAAGUAAGCAGCCAGUGGCGAUGACAAGAAAGAGAUGAAAAGGUCCAGGAGUGAAGCAACUCUGAGCAGCAUCUCAGCUGACCUGUAGCAGAGGACUUAAUAAGAGCUCUAGCUGUUUGUUUUCAUGCUCCGACAGAGGGAUAGGAAUCAGGAGGUGUGGAAGAAACAAACCAGAGCUCUGCCUGUGUGUGCUCAUGCUCAGAGGCAGCGGAACGAGAAUCAGGAGGUAUGAAAAAAAACAGACCAGACUGUUGACACAGCAACAAAACAGCUUUAUCCAGUGACUUCUCCCUCUGUCACCACCAAAUCAAACCAGGAUUGAAGAAGCCAUGCAUGUCCUGCAUGCACGUCCUUCAAUGCUGACAUUUUCAUUUUGUAAUAAUGUAAUUUCAUGAUGAAUGGUUGAUUAAUUUAGGUGAGAUGUAGAUUGUGUCUCUACUUGUAUUGGUAUCAAAAAUUCAUGCAAUAUUAUAUUAUAUGUUGAAAUCUUACAUAAUCUCUCUUACUGCAUGGUGUUAUCAUCAUGACAUCAUUCUUACCAUCCUAAAUGAUAAUUUCUGAUCAUGUUUGGUUUUUGUCUGUAUUUCUAUAGAAUGUAAACAUACCUGGAAAACAUUUUUUUUGAACUAUGCAUUUUUUUCAUUUUCGUAAUUUGCCUAAUGUCAUCUAUAAUAAAAUGUAAUGGACGAAUACAGUUACAGAACUGAACUUAUUAUUUUUAUUAGUUCACAGAUUUUUUGGACCAAAUCAAAUCCAAUCACCCCAUUCAAUUUAGACCACGUUCCAGGUACAGGUGUCAGAGUAAAAUUGAAUUGAACAAUUACAACUUCAUUUAUACACAGCUGUGGAUGUUGUAAAGACCUUUUACAGCUAUGCCAUAGAGAAGAAAGACAAUUGAAACUGAAUAUAUCAACAAGAGCAAUGGAGGCUAGGAAUUUAAAAUAUAUUGAAACUCUCUGAAAUAACCUGGUUUUCUGCAUUGAUUGUUCAUAAAUGUGAUUAGAUAACACACAACAAAUUAAAAGCAUCACAGGGGUGAUUGCUAUUCUGAGCCAGCGCAUUGCAUAUACCCCAAUCAGGCAAUUUUAACUUUGUUGCAUUGUGAUAAUUCCCACAUGUGAACACUCACACAGUAAGCUAUAUUGUGCACCAGAUGCAUAUCAAGAGCAGAGGCCUGUACAACGAAGCAAGGUAACUUCAGGUGUAACUUUGUGAUGUGGGGUGUAACUUCACAAUUAACCUGUUGUAUGUCACAAACAUGGCUUACCCUGCAGGUGUCAAAGAUCCACACAGUUUGGAAAAUCUGCUCUUACUGUAUUCCACACACUUGAAAUAGAUUUCAAGUUGACUUCAUUAAUACAACUGAGGCAAUUCCAAGAAUGAAUUGACAAUACUAUU